UGUGCUCCUCUUUCAGCCAGCCCAGCACCAUGCUCCUCUUCCCCCUUCACUCCCAUGUGCUCCCCGUUCUUCCUCGCUGCCUUCCCCUACUUUAAUUAAUAUAUUUAAUUAAGAUAGAUAAGAGGCAUAUAUCGUCAUUCGUGGAGCUGAAAGCCCACCGGGAAAAAAAAAGAAGAAAAAAACACCCAACUCUUGUCUUCAUCCAGAUCUCGUCGCCUUUGUUAUCUCAGCACGGAGUGGACUAGAAAACCGGAUACUGAGCCGAGAUCUGAGACCCGGAGCCGGCGGCGAUUCGACAAUAGGGGGAGCGGCGAUGGACGUUUCGGAGGGAGUUCUGUCACGUCUCGGUCAUCUGCUAGCAUUUGUUCUCGUCUUCGUGCUCCUCUUCAUCCUUGGGAUCCUUAAAGCGGCUGUCAUCGCGCCGAUUGUAUUCAUCACCGUGGUGGUCGGGAACGCUGCCUUAAUCAUCGGGCUGUACCCUUGUCACGUCGUCUGGACCUGUUACUGUAUCCUGAGAACGAAGAAAUUCGGAUCGGUGCUGAAGGCUCUUAUACUGCUGUUAAUGCCGAUUCCCAUCGUGCUGUGGCCCAUCUCCUCGGCGAUUGGGACUCUCCUGACGGGAAUAGGAUUUGGCGUGGGCUUGCCGCUGAUGGCAACUUUUGAGGCCGUCAGAGAAGGAGUCGACAAUAAGUUGGUUAGCUGUUUGACGGACGGUACCUGGGACUCGAUCAAAGGAGGGUGUACCAUUGUGCGUGAUUUCAAGGACAUUUGCUUCCACUCUUACUUCUCUGUCAUGGAUGGGUUACUCGAGGCGAGGGGCGAGACGAUCAUGAACAUGAGGUUAUCACUGGUACCAGGAUGCCUAUUGGCAGGGAUCGUGGGUCUUCUUAUUGAUGUGCCCAUGCUUAGCCUCAUAGUGCUUUACAAAGUUCCUGUCAUGCUGUACAAAGGAUGGAGGCAGUUGAUCCGAGAUCUUAUUGGACGCUCAGGUCCAUUUCUGGAAAGUGUUUGUGUUCCCUUUGCCGGACUUUUAAUUUUGUUAUGGCCUAUAGCAGUUGAAUUGACUGCUUUAGCAGGGAUUCUUUCAAGCUUUAGUCUUGGAUGCUAUGCUGCUGCUGUCGCAUACCAGGAAGAUUCUACAAUGAGUGGCCUACUGUAUACCAUAUCUGUGAUAUCAACAUUUGAUGAAUUCACUAAUGAUUUUCUCUCCAUGAGAGAAGGAACUUGCUUUCCAAGACCCAAGUAUCGGAAGACAGUUCUUUCCCAGUCGCCAUCACUUCCAAUAAAGCAUGUUCCUGAGCAGUCUGAUUUUACUCCUUUAAAACACCCACUGAUAAAGACAGCUUCAAUGAAAAUGCAGGAGCUAAAAGCAGUAGUGGUAUGGGACAACUUUUUCAAGGCAUGUGAUGAUCUGGGGAAGGAGCUCGUUGGAGCAGGUGCCAUCUGGGUAUCAGAUCUGGAGGCCUGGCAAAAUUCAAAGAACAAGAUAGUUAACAUAGGGCUUCCUUCCUAUGUAUUUCUGCAGUGUUUUCUCCGUUCCAUUAAGAGUGGUUCUGCUGGUUUUGUCAUGCGUGACAAUGUUGAACUGACAAAUAUUAAUAGGCCAGAGGGAAGAAUUUUCGACUGGCUUUUUGAGCCCAUGCUUCUUCUGAAAGAGCAGAUUAAAGCUGCAGAUCUACAACCAACAGAAGAGGCACACCUUUGCAAGUUGGCUCUUUAUUGUGGUGAUGCUCGGAGGUUAGCUGCAUGGCAAAAUGGUGGGGUUCCACCAGCUGACGAGGUUAAACGAGCUCAGCUGGAGGGUCUAAGUAGAAGAUUGCAAGGCUUCAGCCUGACCCUUUCAAGGAUGCCAACCUUCCGGCGACGGUUUGAGCAAGUUGUGAAGGCACUAUUGCAAGAAGCCAGGCAGAGAUCAAAGUAAAAUGGUAAUGGCAUAGGGCAAGCUUUAUAACUAUCACCUAUUGACAGAAUAGUUGAGGUGAAGAUGUAUGGUGAGAAUUGCAACUGGGGCAUGCUGAUGUUACCUGGAUGGUUGUUCUAGUAGUUCUUGUAAUUCAUGAAUGUUUUCAUUGUAAGAAUUCUCCAGUUUGUAAGGAUUAUCGAAGAUGUCCUCCAGUCUAAUUAUUUCCAGUUCCAGCUGUUUUUCUGUAGAACCUCGAUGUCUUUCAGAACUUGUAUGUAUGUCGGAUUGUGAAAUUCCAUAUUCUUGAUGUUAUGAAUCUUGAGAUGAAAGUGGUUUGAUAGGGAUGCUUUUA